CGAGUAGGGCCCAAGCAAGCCAGGAAGGAGGAGGCAGCCAGAGUGUUCUCGGCAGCAGAAGACCCCUUGCUGCCCUGCUUAACCCAGACCAGCAUUUGCCAGGAACAUAUACACUUCCAUGUACUUAAAAGCCCCCUCCCCAAAGUAAAAACCACUACUUUGUUUUUGGGUGGCCCUGCUUAACAUCCAAACGGAUAGACCUUCAACCACUGGAGUUUGCCAUCUGCUCUGAAAGGACCUAUGCUUUCAUCCAUUUGUGAUUUGUGGGAAAUGAAUCUUUUUUCUGGCAGAGGCAGACUGCUCUACCAGAAGAGGAAUGGAUUGUUUCUAUGGAUGACUGUGGUUUUGCCUGUGGGGAAGUGAAUCUUUUUUUGUGGAUGGCCCAUUUGCCAGAGGGGAAAAGAUACCUCCUGUUUUUUGACCGGCUUAAAAAUGAUCAGUUUCCCCAUUAUUCUUAGUCCAUUUGGCUAUGCAUUGAGUCUGUCUUUUUAUUCAGAUGUUUUAAAUAUUUGCGGUUGUGGUUUCUCUGUUCUGCUUAGGUACUUUAUAAAAUUCACCUAAUAAAUUGAUUAAAUACUCAUAAAACAU